rnacentral:rRNA from 1 species
AACGAACGCUGGCGGCAUGCCUAACACAUGCAAGUCGAACGAGACCUUCGGGUCUAGUGGCGCACGGGUGCGUAACGCGUGGGAACCUGCCCUUAGGUUCGGAAUAACUCCCCGAAAGGGGUGCUAAUACCGGAUAAUGUCUUCGGACCAAAGAUUUAUCGCCUUUGGAUGGGCCCGCGUUGGAUUAGCUAGUUGGUAGGGUAAAAGCCUACCAAGGCGACGAUCCAUAGCUGGUCUGAGAGGAUGAUCAGCCACACUGGGACUGAGACACGGCCCAGACUCCAACGGGAGGAAGAAGGGGGGAAUAUUGGACAGGGGGCGAAAGCCUAAUCCAGCAAGGCCGCGUGAGGGAUGAAGGCUUUGGGGUUGUAAAGCUCUUUUACCGGGGAUGAUAAGGACAGGGCGGGGAGAAAAAGCCCCGGCUAACCCGGUG